UGUCUGGCAGUGGGCAAAGAGACACCUUGUUGGUAAUGUUGCUCUAAUAUCAGCCAGGGCAUAGCAGAUGACUUUUUUUUAUUCAUCCUAGUUGAUGCCUGGCUUGAUGGCCAAGGCUAUUUCAUGCCUAGGGCACAUAA